CUUCAACGACCCCAGGUACAGGGGCCGUUCGCGGUCCUGGCCGUAGGUGGCGAGCAGGGCCUGCGCCUC
rnacentral:antisense_RNA from 1 species